rnacentral:rRNA from 1 species
UACGGAGGGGACUAGCGUUGUUCGGAAUUACUGGGCGUAAAGGGCGCGUAGGCGGACAGUUAAGUCAGAGGUGAAAGCCCAGGGCUCAACCCUGGAAUAGCCUUUGAUACUGGCUGUCUUGAGUGCGGGAGAGGUGUGUGGAACUCCGAGUGUAGAGGUGAAAUUCGUAGAUAUUCGGAAGAACACCAGUGGCGAAGGCGACACACUGGCCCGUAACUGACGCUGAGGCGCGAAAGCGUGGGGAGCAAACAGG